rnacentral:rRNA from 1 species
GCAGUCGAACGGUAACGCGGGGCAACCUGGCGACGAGUGGCGAACGGGUGAGUAAUGCAUCGGAACGUGCCCAGAAGUGGGGGAUAGCCCGGCGAAAGCCGGAUUAAUACCGCAUGAGACCUGAGGGUGAAAGCGGGGGAUCGCAAGACCUCGCGCUUUUGGAGCGGCCGAUGUCAGAUUAGCUAGUUGGUGGGGUAAAGGCCUACCAAGGCGACGAUCUGUAGCUGGUCUGAGAGGACGACCAGCCACACUGGGACUGAGACACGGCCCAGACUCCUACGGGAGGCAGCAGUGGGGAAUUUUGGACAAUGGGCGCAAGCCUGAUCCAGCCAUGCCGCGUGCGGGAAGAAGGCCUUCGGGUUGUAAACCGCUUUUGUCAGGGAAGAAACGCUCUGGGUUAAUACCCUGGGGUAAUGACGGUACCUGAAGAAUAAGCACCGGCUAACUACGUGCCAGCAGCCGCGGUAAUACGUAGGGUGCAAGCGUUAAUCGGAAUUACUGGGCGUAAAGCGUGCGCAGGCGGUUAUGCAAGACAGAUGUGAAAUCCCCGGGCUCAACCUGGGAACUGCAUUUUGUGACUGCAUGGCUAGAGUGCGGCA